UGUUAGAGUAAUCGAAGCAGUGAACUUAAGCCCCAGUAAACGGCGGCCGUAACUAUAACGGUCCUAAGGUAGCGAAAUUCCUUGUCGGGUAAGUUCCGACCCGCACGAAAGGCGUAACGAUUUGGGCACUGUCUCAACAACAGACUCGGUGAAAUUGUAAUUCCGGUGAAGAUGCCGGAUACCUGCGACAGGACGGAAAGACCCCAUGGAGCUUUACUGUAGCUUGACAUUGGGUCUUGGUACUACAUGUACAGGAUAGGUGGGAGGCUUUGAAACCAGGACGCCAGUUUUGGCGGAGCCAUCCUUGGGAUACCACCCUUGUAGUACUGGGACUCUAACCAUAGGCCAUGAAUCUGGUCUUGGGACACUGUCAGGUGGGCAGUUUGACUGGGGCGGUCGCCUCCCAAAAGGUAACGGAGGCGCUCAAAGGUUCUCUCAGUACGGUCGGAAAUCGUACGUAGAGUGUAAAGGCAAAAGAGAGCUUGAUUGCAAGACAUACAGGUCGAGCAAGGAUGAAAAUCGGACUUAGUGAUCCGGUGGUUCUGCGUGGAAGGGCCAUCGCUCAACGGAUAAAAGCUACCCUGGGGAUAACAGGCUUAUCUCCCCCAAGAGUCCACAUCGACGGGGAGGUUUGGCACCUCGAUGUCGGCUCAUCACAUCCUGGGGCUGUAGUAGGUCCCAAGGGUUGGGCUGUUCGCCCAUUAAAGUGGUACGCGAGCUGGGUUCAGAACGUCGUGAGACAGUUCGGUCCCUAUCCGUCGCAGGCGUAGGAAAUUUGAGAAGACCUGUCCUUAGUACGAGAGGACCGGGAUGGACG
rnacentral:rRNA from 1 species